GAAAGCAUCCCCUGAUCCCAUUGUAACAUCAACUCGCUGCAAGCAUUUACCUGUUGCUCCUGUUGUAAUGUCAGAUUUUGGAGUCAUCUAUGAAAUUGUAAAUGACUGUAAAUAGCAUUAAGAAUGUGGUGCAAUUCAUGACUUACCAUCUCCACCGGUGAUGAUGGAACAUUCGGAUAUGAUGAAGAUGAAGGUCAGUGUGGAUGCGCGCAUAUCCAGUGUGUCCAAGUUGUCUGAGCUGAAUGUCCUCAUAGAGCUUUCUACACAUUUUAAGAAGUACACUGAUGUGGCAUUGUGUGUGUGUGUGUGUGUGUGUGUGUGUGUGUGUGUGUGUGUGUGUGUGUGUGUGUGUGUGUGUGUGUGGUUGUGUGCGCGCGCUCGCCUUUCUGACUGUGCGCGAAGGAAAAAACUUUCACUUUCUCUUUGGUAACGCGAGCUUGUACUCUUGGAUUAAAAACAAACACGACGCUCCUUCUUUGAAAUUCAUUUUUAGAAUAAGUUUCUCUGUAAUGAGAUCCAAGUCCACACACACACACACACACACACACACACACACACACACACACACACACACACACACACACACACACACACACACACACACACACACA